GGCAUUGUGGUUCAGGGUAGUGGUAGAAUUCUCGCCUCGCCACGCGGGAGGCCCCGGGGUUCGAUUCCCGGCCAAUGCAGCA